rnacentral:tRNA from 1 species
GCGGCUGUAGCUCAGCUGGUAGAGCACUCGGUUGUGAUCCGAGCGGUCGCGGGUUCAAACCCCGUCAGUCGCCCCA